rnacentral:siRNA from 1 species
UUGCCGCCGAUGAGAUCUGUUCU